GCGCCUGGUCCUGCCCACACAUCCGCUUCACCUGCGCGAUACCCAACCCACCGAAUGCGUGCUACACCGACCGGCAGUGUCCACGGCCCAAGAAGUGCUGCCAGUCUUCAUGUGGGAGGAGAUGCCUCUCACCACCAUCUUCCCCCCCCCUCAUCUACGAAUGAGCUCCUGCUCCCGGGACAGACCCAGGGCCUUCUCAGCAUCCCCGUGUCACCCCAGCACCAGCAGCUGCCCGCACUUCUGCUAAGGCUCGUCCUGCCCGAUGCCAGCCCCCGGGAGGAUGGGGACGGCCACCAGCCCACGCUCAGGGACCACUUCAGCUCCAGAACCACCCAGCUGAGAGCUGCCACGCAGUGCUACGUGCUGCCUGCUGCCCGCUCCCUCUGCUUCCCCACUGCUGUUCUAACAAAUAAAAGAGCUUUUUCCCAGG